rnacentral:rRNA from 1 species
GCUUACGGCCAUACCAACCUGGCUAUGCCCGAUCUCGUCUGAUCUCGGAAGCUAAGCAGGUUUGGGCCUUGUUAGUACUUGGAUGGGAGACCGCCUGGGAAUACCAGGUGCUGUAAGCU